rnacentral:rRNA from 1 species
GAUGAACGCUAGCGAUAGGCCUAACACAUGCAAGUCGAGGGGCAUCACAUGAAGUAGCAAUACGGAUGGUGGCGAACCGGCGCACGGGUGAGUAACACGUAUGCAACCUGCCUUCAACAAGGGGAUAACCCGUUGAAAGACGGACUAAUACCCUAUAAUACAGGGGUCCCGCAUGGGGAUAUUUGUUAAAGAUUGAUCGGUUGAAGAUGGGCAUGCGUUCCAUUAGCUAGUUGGCGGGGUAACGGCCCACCAAGGCAACGAUGGAUAGGGGAACUGAGAGGUUUAUCCCCCACACUGGUACUGAGACACGGACCAGACUCCUACGGGAGGCAGCAGUGAGGAAUAUUGGUCAAUGGACGCAAGUCUGAACCAGCCACGUUCGCGUGAAGGAA